rnacentral:rRNA from 1 species
GAUGAACGCUGGCGGCGUGCCUAAUACAUGCAAGUCGAGCGAACGGACGAGAAGCUUGCUUCUCUGAUGUUAGCGGCGGACGGGUGAGUAACACGUGGAUAACCUACCUAUAAGACUGGGAUAACUUCGGGAAACCGGAGCUAAUACCGGAUAAUUUUUUGAACCGCAUGGUUCAAAAGUGAAAGACGGUCUUGCUGUCACUUAUAGAUGGAUCCGCGCUGCAUUAGCUAGUUGGUAAGGUAACGGCUUACCAAGGCAACGAUGCAUAGCCGACCUGAGAGGGGGAUCGGCCACACUGGAACUGAGACACGGUCCAGACUCCUACGGGAGGCAGCAGUAGGGAAUCUUCCGCAAAGGGCGAAAGCCUGACGGAGCAACGCCGCGUGAGUGAUGAAGGUCUUCGGAUCGUAAAACUCUGUUAUUAGGGAAAAACAUAUGUGUAAGUAACUGUGCACAUCUUGACGGUACCUAAUCAGAAAGCCACGGCUAACUACGUG